UGUUUUAGAAGGGUUUUAUACAGAGUCGAAAUUGACGAUUGUCGAUGUCUAUAUUUUCAGUUCUUCAAGCUAUCAGUUUAUGAUUUGAACAGUUGCAUAAAAAUCACGUUGUUAUACGCUUGGAUACAUUAAAAAUAGAAGCCUAAUACAGUUAUGGGAAACGUUUUUGAAAAAAAUAAAGGAAAUGAAAAAGGAAAAGGCGAAACUCAAGAUCAACCGACGACGGAUAAACCUGACCAGUGUGAACUUGUCAGGCCCAUAUUAUUGGACCUGCUUCAUGGGGUAUGGAGACCGGCAAACCAACAGAUUGCACGUUACAACUGAAGGAUUUCAUUUAUGUAGCAACUUAAUUGUUGAAAGGACAAAAUAAUCGUCUUACAAACUUUUAAAAUAUGAUUUAGAAGGAUAAUAUUGAAAGAGCAGCGUAUUUCCUCUGUUAAAGAAAUAAACAAAGAAAAUAAACCGGUUGAGUA